GAGUGCGGUUGCGUCCGGUUGAGUGUGGAUAACAUGACUUUUAAUCAUGGGGUCGAGGGUUCGAGUCCCUCCGCGCUCACCA
rnacentral:tRNA from 1 species